ACAGGCAAAGAUCUGCUGUCGCUGAUGAAAAAGUCACUCUUCAGCUAAACAAAACCUCUUCCAGGGCAAGGGAGGAUGGCUGGGAUGUGUCAGGAAGAGAUCCCACCCUUCUGCACCCAGGAGCCCAGUGAAAAUCCUAUUGGAUCAUGGUGAAAAA